CGGAAUUAAAACAAAGCCUUUUGUGUAAAUGAUGGCUCUUCUGGAUCCGUUGCUCUCAGUGUUUCUCCACAAAAUGCACCCCUGGUACUGCAUAAGGGUGAGCGGUUGGUUGCUCCUGCUUGGUAGGAGGCAUCCUGCCUGUGGUAGGACUGAAUGAUUCUUAUCUCUGCUUCUUGUCAGCUCUUGUCAUGGAAGAUUAAGCCAUCUCACAUAUCCCACCUCCACCAAGACUUUGUGCAAGGAGAGAUCCUCAAGGCAGAACACUGCCUGGUUCUCCUCACCUCAGUCUCUACCCAGAUUUCUGAAGGUCUUCUGUCUGCUUUGGCAUCGUGGUCUUGUGGCCUUCCCUGCCUUGCUCUCUGGGGCACAUCGGGGAGCAUGAAGGCAGUCCCAAACGCACCCUUGCAUCUGUCCUUCUCCAUAAGUGAUGGAUCUGCAGGACUGGGGAGUAGAAUGUGUCAGGUUCAGCAAACAGCUGUGAGCAGUGGUUUGGUGACAUGGCUCGUGUUCUUGAGAUUUGCAUUAAGACAGGAGGUUGGGAAUCACACUCCGAGAGGUGUCUGCCCCUGUCACUGCGUUCCCAAAAUUUUGAUCAUACUCCAGGCCUCACCAAACCCAGGCUGGCAUGGUGACAUCCGUACCUGUCCAGUUUUGGGCCCCUCACGGUAAGAAAGACAUCGAGGCCCUGGAGCGCGUCCAGAGGAGGGCAACAAAGCUGGUGAGGGCUCUGGAGCACAGGCCUUAUGAAUUGUAAUUGAAGGAGCUGGGAUUGUUCAGUCUAGAGAAGAGGAGGCUCAGGGGAGACCUUAUUCUCUAUAACUACCCGAAGGGAGGCUGUGGUGAGCUGGGGGUCAGCCUCUUCUCUCGUGUGACAGUGAUAGGACGAGAGGGAAUGGCUUCAAGCUGCACCACGGAAGGUUCAGGCUGGACGUUAGGAAAUACUACUUGUCUGAAAGGGUGGUCAGGCACUGCAAUGGGCUGCCCAGAGAGGUGGUGGAGUCACCGACCCUGGAGGUGUUCAAAGAGCGUUUGGAUGCUGUGUUGAGGGACGUGGCUUAGCGAGAACCAUCGGUGAUGGGAGAACGGUAGGACUGCUGCCUUCCGGGCAUCAUCGCCUUCGGUGGAAGCUCUUGUGCGCUCAGGAACGGCAAACGCCACCCGCUUUCGCAGAGCUCAAGGGCAGACGAGUCGGAACGCCCUUGGAACGAAGGCGUUUCCUCGAGAAGAGCCAAGCCCCGCCCCGUCCCCCCGGGCUCACCCCGGUCCCAGUGGCGGUCCCCAGGCUCCGUGCCGCUCUUUUCUCCGUCUCUGCUGCCACCGCGUGAGCGAAGCGCGGAACUGCAGCCGAAACUGUCGGGACCGCCGUGGCGGCGCUUUGAGUUAUGGGCGGUGGGGGGUCAUACGAGCUGUGGGAGCACUCUGGGCGCUCUGGACCCUCCCCCGGGGCCCGCACAGUCCCGCAGAGCACCACCGAGGCCUCCCGGAGCUGCGCAACGCGUCGCUCCGCUGUCUCCGCUCUGUACCGCCCGCCUCUGCGACAACAGACCCCCGCCAGGCCUCGGGAAACCCGGAAGUAGCGCCUCUUCGCUCGGACUGCUCCGUGCCGUCAGCCCCGCCAUCUCUAUGCUCUACUGGAGUCAGGUCCCUGCGCUGGAUGCAGAUGGAAAAGGUGGAGAGCCCAAGCCCUGCUUUUGGAAGGAUACAUCUAGAGGGACAGGAAGGGACGUGGAGAGCAUGACAUCGUUCAGCAAAGGGUAUGAGUGUCGAGCAGCCCAGAACUCAUCUUGUGCUUCUGUAGGGCAAGGAGAUGGGAUGUCA
rnacentral:lncRNA from 1 species